rnacentral:rRNA from 1 species
AUAUCAAUAAGCGGAGGAAAAGAAACCAACCGGGAUUGCCUCAGUAACGGCGAGUGAAGCGGCAAAAGCUCAAAUUUGAAAUCUGGCCCUGUGGUCCGAAUUGUAAUUUGAAGAAGCGACUCUGGUACCGGCCCUUGUCUAUGUUCCUUGGAACAGGACGUCACAGAGGGUGAGAAUCCCGUGCGAUGGGGAGUCCGGAGCCAUGUAGAGCGUUUUCGACGAGUCGAGUUGUUUGGGAAUGCAGCUCUAAGUGGGUGGUAAAUUCCAUCUAAAGCUAAAUACAGGCGAGAGACCGAUAGCGAACAAGUACUGUGAAGGAAAGAUGAAAAGAACUUUGAAAAGAGAGUGAAAAAGUACGUGAAAUUGUUGAAAGGGAAGGGCUUGGGAUCAGACUUUGUAUUUCCAUGGCGUUCUUUCGGGAGCGUCCUCUGGGUUUACGGGGCCAGCAUGGGUUCUGCGGGCAAGACAAGGGGGCCAGGAACGUGGCUCUGCUUCGGCGGAGUGUUAUAGCCUGGACUUUCGGUUGCCACGCGGGACUGAGGACUGCGAAUCUAGGAUGCUGGCAUAAUG